ACGCGCUAACCGACAAACAGUUGCGUGCCUCGAGCGACGAGUACUAGCUUGGCGAGAACCGGUCGCUUGCGAGCAAACGAAAUAUAUAUCGAUCGGAGAAUCGUCGCCAUUUAAAGCAGUGCGCGACGACGCCGAAACAAAGAAGAAACGCAAGGAUGUUUGGCGGUCGACGCGAAGGCAGCAAUAACAGCUGUCAAGACUCCAACUUUCCACUGAUAUAAAAUUGUGUAAAUGGAUGAAAAUAUACAUCUUUGUGCAGAUGCAAUAACUUGUAAUCAAAUGAUUAAUGGUGACAGCAAUCACGUUUAAAUGGAUUAAAAAAGGAUUUUUCAAAUUCAAAAUCCCGCAAGUUGUGAAUAACAAAAAUUCUCACUCUGCUGAUAGGAGAAGCAUAAAAUAGCGUAUAUGCACAGUAUUACCAUUCAAGAAAUUAACUCAAGUGAAAAAAAAAAGUUAUUGUCUUAUGUUACUG